GACGAACGCUGGCGGCGUGCUUAACACAUGCAAGUCGAACGGGAGUAUUGAAGAAGCUUGCUUUAGAGAUACUUUAGUGGCGGACGGGUGAGUAACGCGUGAGGAGCUGUCCUAUGCAGGGGGACAACAGUUGGAAACGACUGCUAAUACCCCAUAAGCCGAGAGGUAAAAGGAGCGAUCCGGCAGAGGAGGUACUCGCGUCCUAUCAGCUAGUAGGUGAGGUAACGGCUCACCUAGGCGAAGACGGGUAGCCGGCCUGAGAGGGCGAACGGCCACACUGGAACUGAGAUACGGUCCAGACUCCUACGGGAGGCAGCAGUGGGGAAUAUUGGGCAAUGGGGGCAACCCUGACCCAGCGACGCCGCGUGGGUGAAGAAAUCCCUCGGGAUGUAAAGCCCUGUUGUAUGGGAAGAGCAGAAGACGGUACCAUACGAGGAAGCCCCGGCAAACUACGUG
rnacentral:rRNA from 1 species